AACGAACGCUGGCGGCAUGCCUAACACAUGCAAGUCGAACGAGACCUUCGGGUCUAGUGGCGCACGGGUGCGUAACACGUGGGAAUUUGCCUCGGGGUAUGGAAUAACUCAGGGAAACUUGAGCUAAUACCAUAUAAUGUCUUCGGACCAAAGAUUUAUCGCCCUGAGAUAAGCCCGCGUAGGAUUAGCUAGUUGGUGGGGUAAAGGCUCACCAAGGCGACGAUCCUUAGCUGGUCUGAGAGGAUGAUCAGCCACACUGGGACUGAGACACGGCCCAGACUCCUACGGGGAGGCAGCAGUGGGGGAAUAUUGGACAAUGGGCGAAAGCCUGAUCCAGCAAUGCCGCGUGAGUGAUGAAGGCCUCGGUUGUAAGACUCUUUACUUCGGGUACGAUAAUGACGGUACCGACGAGAAUAAGACCCCGGCCGUAACUCCGUCGCCAGCAGCCGCGGU
rnacentral:rRNA from 1 species